rnacentral:rRNA from 1 species
GACGAACGCUGGCGGCGUGCUUAACACAUGCAAGUCGAACGGAAAGGCCCUGCUUUUGUGGGGUGCUCGAGUGGCGAACGGGUGAGUAACACGUGAGUAACCUGCCCUUGACUUUGGGAUAACUUCAGGAAACUGGGGCUAAUACCGGAUAGGAGCUCCUGCUGCAUGGUGGGGGUUGGAAAGUUUCGGCGGUUGGGGAUGGACUCGCGGCUUAUCCGCUUGUUGGUGGGGUAGUGGCUUACCAAGGUUUUGACGGGUCGCCGGCCUGAGGGGGUGACCGGCCACAUUGGAACUGGGAUACGGCCCAGACUCCUACGGGAGGCAGCAUUGGGGAAUAUGGCACAAUGGGCGGAAGCCUGAUGCAGCAACGCCGCGUGCGGGAUGACGGCCUUCGGGUGGUAAACCGCUUUCGCCUGUGACGAAGCGUGAGUGACGGUAAUGGGUAAAGAAGCACCGGCUAACUACGUG